CUGUGCUGGCCAAAAAAAAGUUUUAAAAGUAAAAAAUAAAAUAAAAAGAGAAAACAGCAUAUAGGAUAACAAUAUAAAGAAAAAUUAUUCUGGCACAGCUAUAUAGUGUUGGUGUAUGAAGUUUUAUUACAGAAGAGUCAGAGUUAAAAAAAAUCAUAGUUUGUAAUAUACAAAAGUUACAGGAAGCUAAGGCUCACUUAUUACUGAAGAAAGACUUUUUAAAAUAAAUUUAGUGGAGCCUUAGUGCACAGUGUUGAUAAAGUCCACAGUAGUGUUCAGUCAAGCCUAAGCCUUCACGGUCACUCACCACACACCCAGGGCUGCGUCCAGUCCUGCCUGGACUGCUCACGGGAAGCACCCUAUACUGCGUGCCAUUUCGUAUCUUUAUGCUGCACGUUUACUGCACCUUCUUCACAUUUAGAUGUGCAGGUGGUUACUGUGGUGCUCCAGCUACUUGUGCUGCUUGGUGCUGUGGUGUGCCAUGCAGGCCUGCAGCCUGCGGGGAUGUGCCCCACUACGCAGCCGGGCACCACAGGCCCUGCCCCCUUGGUGUGUGUAUGUGUGCUCUAGCAUUGUCCCACGAUGAGACCCUGAGCCAUGGUUCCUCAGGAUGCAUCCACAUCAUUACACAGCACAUGACUAUUUUAGUAUAUCAUGCUUUUGUUUUCAUUCAUCUCAAAGAAUUUACUGAUUUCCCUUCCAUCACCUGUUGGUUGUUUAAUUUGUGAACACUUCAGUUUGCCAUGUUGCUAGCUUCCCUCUGCUAUGGUUGGAGGAGACACCUGCUGUGGAUCUGUCUCUCUAGGCUUGUUGAGGGCUGCCUCCCAGUCCGUGGCCCACCUCCCAGCCUGUGGCCCAUGGAGGCAUCUGGUACAGAGGAGAAUGGGCUCCUGUGGUUGUGGGUGGAGCGCUCUGCACAGGUCUCCUGGGCCAUGGGUUUAUAGUGCUGUGCAGGCUGCCUGUUUCUGUAUGGAUCCUCUGCCUAGCUGUUCUGUUCAUUUUGAUACAUUUGCUAGCCUUUAAAUGUGGUCAGCAGAUAUUACGCAGUCUUGGUUCAGGCUGGGAAGUGGGUUUGUGCAGCUGUUGACACCAUCUGUUGAAGGAUGAGAGAGCAAUGCCAGAGGCAGGUUCACUGGGCCAGGCAUCACCCACUGGGAGAGUGAGGCUGCAGAGUGGCCCUGGAUGGCAGGGGUCAGCACUGUGGCUGCUUCUGAGCUGUGUGUCACAGCCCUGAGUGUUGGGUCCUGUUCCUGUCCCCUCUGCACAGCAGCGUCCCGCCUCAAGUUGUAGAUGAGAGGCAAGGGGGACAGGGCCGCAGUGUACAGGGCAGAGCAUGAGGUGCCUGGCAAGUUGGGAGCAGAUUCGUUGGCCACAGCUCUGGCCGUGUUGGUUCAGGCUGGGAAGUGGGUUUUGUGGGGCUGUGGCCGACCCCUUGGAAGAGCCACAUUGUAGUGCGUUUUCAGUUUGUUUCCUAUUUUGAGGGUACCACUGAGGUUCUUCCACGUGUGAGAUGCAUCUUCAGUGGCACUCAGUUCACAUUCACUGAACACUUUAGUGAGGAUUAAUCGUCCCUCAAGCACUUGGCUCUCUUAAUGGGAAUCUCCAUCUGUGGUCUAGGAGCAGGGAGCGCUCUUGGGCAGGACAAUUUAGUCCAGGCCCGGCUCCUUACUCUGCACGGCGUUUCCUGUGCGCGCCUGGAGUGAGCUCAGCUGGCCCGGCUGACUCAAAGUCCCCUCUGAGCAGCAAGGCCUCUGUGCUCAUUGCCUCAACGCACCGCCGCGGGGGCGUCCUGAGGAGGGGGGCCCUGUGCCUGCCCCCCUGCUAGUGCACAGACCACCUUGGCCUCCAGGAAUGCAGCAGAGGGGACUCGGGCGGGCCUCAGGGUGGUCUGCGAGUGCCGAGUGUGACAGAUCGCAGCAGAGAGUGUUCUUUACAGCCUCCAGAGCUUGGCUGUGGUGAGAGCCAAUUUUCCCCCUUUACAUUCUCUGCAGCAUAUUAAUGGCCCCAACUGGUAGAACUAUUUUGAGUUGUAGACAGCUUGAUUUAUCCCAGCUCUGUUCUUAAAUGGUUGCUAAUUUCUCACUGCAAGAAAAUUCACAGUUCCUCGGUGAGUCAGCUUAAUGACACGGCCAGGGCAGCACAGCUAACAGCAGACUGCUCUCGAUGCUUGGCUUGGUGCGGUGAUGUGCCGCACUCCGGCAUUGCAAGGCGAGCCAGAGCAGACAUGUCGCGUGGGACACAAGAGCCGAUGUCCCGCAGAGUUUGGAGGCUCAAGGCCCUGCGUGCCUCUGGAGCAGCGUCUUCCCGGGCUGCUGGUGGCAGCGAAAGCACAAGCCCGGGAUGUCUUCAGGCCCCCGGCACUCAGCCUUGCCCUAAUGGUGCACGCAUGGACACACAGCAGCUUGGUAGGUGGGCCCACCCUACUUCAUUAGGCUAUUUUUCCAUAUUUAUUUUUUGUCUUUAUAAACAAAAUGGAAAUGGUGAGAACGCUAAACGCUCUUGUCUUUGUUGUGCAGGGCUUCUGGCCUAUGUCACUGUCAACCCAGACAGUGUUGGUGAUGCUUUGCUCUGAGUCUGCAGGAGCUUCAUGGAGACAGAGGCUUUCCUAGCAGGGCGGCGAGCAGAAGCUUUUCUUCCAGAACAGCCUUUGCUUAAGGGCACGAGGGAGCCGGCCAGGCCCGCAGCACACAGGGCAUCCUCCUCACAGAUGUGUUGGAGGAAAGUAGCUUUGGUGCUAUCCUAGGGGACCAUGGCCAUAAGCUGGCAGUGUCGGCCACACUCAGUUGUGUUUCUUUGUUCAGGUUGUGCCUCCUGCUGCCUGCCUAAGUCACCUAGGGCUGCUCCCCUUCCUGGCUCUGACGCGCUCAGCGGGUCCCACAAGCCGCUCAGGACCACAGAGUCUGGGCCUAGGUCUGGCCAGGCAUCCACUGACGUUCUAAGCCACAGCUUCUCUUAGGAACACUUCUCUCACGUCCGGCUCGCAGGCAUGCCCCAGGGCCUGCCUAGAUUGUACUGUCCUUCAAGCACUCCCUGCUCUAUUUCUUUGAAGUUUAUAAAAGUUUGUUUCCCCUAAAACCCAAAGCACUUUUAAUCAGGUGGUUUCUAUGGAGGUCGAACUGGCUGGAAGGAAGGCCGGUUCCUGGGUUUCUUUACUUAUGUAGCAGGGACUCAAGGAAGUCUGAUUUGCACCUGGCCUCUGACUCAGAGCCCAUGAGGGUUCCUCCGUGAGGCCACUGGCUGCCCCGGAGCUGACAGCAUCCUACACAAUGGCUAGAUGGCUUGUCACCCCAGGCCGCAGAGGAACAACUGUUUCUAGGGUUUGGCCAGACUUCACAUUCUCCGUUCUUUCCAUCCCCGUUAUGUGGAAUGCACACGAUGCCAUGUAAUUACUUCAGUCCCUUCUUAAAGGAAAAAGAAUCCGGACCCGCAUUCCAGGACACUGGCAGAUUGAAGGUUCGCUCAGGAAUGUUAUUUGUCUGCAGACCUAGCAGCCGUACAGAUCGCUCUUGUGUUUUUGCAUUAUUAAUUAACUUCAAGUGCAAUUUUGGCAGGCAGGCCAAGGGUCUCAACAGGCUAUUUGGAAUGAGUUCUCUUUUAAGGCCUUCAACGUGGUGAGACAUUUUCAAAUCAAAAAGUACAGUAGGAGCCAGCCUUUAUUUUGUCUGUGUACACAAUAAAAUAUUCCACUUCUGUAGACAGAUCAGCUGGUCUUGGUCACAAAUUAAAUGUACAUAUUAUUACUGUGCUUAUUAGGCAAAAACCGAAACUAUAGAAAAUUUUGCUAUUUCCACUGCUUUCUUAUGCACUAGAAAAAGGCAUGAAUUUGGUGUCUUUUUUAAAAAAAGGUUAUGUUCUUCUUUAUAUUCUGGGGAGAUGUCAUAGAUAAUAUUUUUAGGUUGAGAAUAAUUGUACAUACUCAUGGGUUAUGUAGUGAUGUUUUCCAUACAUGGAACAUAAAGUGAUCACAUCACACCAGGGUCACUAGCACAGCCAGCAUCUUGGGCAUACACCACUCAGCCUUGCAGAAAAGGUGGCAGACAGGAGUGCUGGCCUGCCUGGGUCUGUUGGAGAUGACCCGGGGGGACAGGCGUCAUGUGGGGAAGAUAGUGAACAGGAGUGUGGGGCUCUCGGGGUCUGUGUGGAGGUGGCCCCAGGUGGAUGGGCUUCACACCUCCCUGUGGUCCUGGUCUCCAUGUGGCUCCUGAUCUCUGAGUUGUUGCGGGUCUCUGCUGGGCCUUGCCGUGGGUAGUAUAACCUUCAUGGCGGCUUGCUAGGACUGUGUUUAAAAGAAGAUUAUGAUGUAUGUUUAAUAAUUAUUGGCAUUGAUGUAUGUCAAAUGGUACUCUGUGUCUGUUGGGUUCAGUACAGGAUUUUGUUUUCCCUAUCAUUUUUACCUUUGAACAUCUGGGUCAGGGUUGGACAGAUUAAUAUGGCUUAUUCUGCUACCCUUAGUGUCAUCCUCCCACCCAUCCAACCUUCCCUAUCGACACCUGCCUGGCCCUGCAUGCCUCCAGCUUCUGCACCUGCUGGGCCGGGGACUGUCUCCCACACCCCCACGGUGCUGGCUGCCCUCCACCGUGUGGAGAGUUUCGUUCUGUCAUUUGCAGUGUGCAUGAAACAUCUCACACUUAAGAGACAAGAGAAAGGGUUUGUGUUUCUUUUUAAUCCUGCUUUCCCAGUCCGUCUGCAGUUAGGGACCCACAUGCAGACAGGUCAUGAGCAUAGUGGCCAGGCGAGAGCUGGGACUCAAAUCUGAGCUGCCUACCCAGGUCCCCAGCUGCCCUGCUGUGGGCAGGAAUUCCACACCCACAUGCAACGCUCCCACAGGGUCAGCCAAACAGAGCACUCCACAGCCUGGAGAUGGCAGGCCAGAGUGUGGCCGCUGCACCAGGCAGGAGGUGGGGCAGGCACCUCAUCUCACCAGACCUGUACUGGCAGAGGCAGAGCCAUGACCUGACCCUGGUGCUGGGCUGCUGGCUCCCUCCUGCUGGCUCUCAGAUGGCAUCACCCAGGUAGUCACGCAAAGGCUCUUGGAUGUGUGAGACGGGGAGAUGUUGUCUCUGCUAGGGUUUGCAGAGAUGGCAGCCUCUGCUGUGAUUUUGUGCUUCUCCCCAGAUCCUGAGGAGGAUGAAGGGGCUGGCCCUGGAGGCCGAGAGUGAGCUAGAGAGACAAGACGAAGCCCUGGAUGGCAUCGCAGCAGCUGUGGACAGGGCAACCUUGACCAUCGACAAGCAUAACAGGCGAAUGAAGAGGCUGACCUAGGGGCAGAGUGUCUCUGCAUUCCUGUCUCUGCCUGCACAUCCCCCUGAGAUGGAGAGCUGGGAGUUGGUGCCAGGGCUGCAGAGACCUGUGGCCCUCCAGUGUGGUCUUCCUCUGGAUGGGGCUGCUACUAUGGGGCCACCUCCACACUAGGGGCCUCCCCAGGUGUCUGCUAUGCCUGCCCCCUACUCGGCUCUCCCUGUUGCCAGACAGGACCCGGUGACAUGUUCUGCAGAUGCCGCAGAAGUGUGGACCAUGGCGGGACCCCAAGGACACUUGGCACAGGCCUGGAAGAGGCCAAUGCACCGCCCUCGUCUUGUCUUGGCUCCCUUUCAUGGACAGACUGGCCUUCUUAGCUGUACUACGAAUUUGUGAGUGAAGUUAGAACCCAGCUCACUGAGCCAGCUCACUUUGAGGGCAUCCUAUAAACACCCAACUGUUCUUUUAUCGUCUCGGUUUUAGCCAAAAGUGAAAUUAGCAUGACUGCACUUUUCAAACAAAAAUAUUGAUUUCUGCUUUUAUGGCCCCAUUUCCAUCCAGAAAUAAAGGGAAAUGCUGGCUU